rnacentral:rRNA from 1 species
GACGAACGCUGGCGGCGUGCCUAAUACAUGCAAGUCGAACGCUGAAGGAGGAGCUUGCUCUUCUGGAUGAGUUGCGAACGGGUGAGUAACGCGUAGGUAACCUGCCUGGUAGCGGGGGAUAACUAUUGGAAACGAUAGCUAAUACCGCAUAGUAGUAGAUGUUGCAUGAUAUUUACUUAAAAGGUGCAAUUGCACCACUACCAGAUGGACCUGCGUUGUAUUAGCUAGUUGGUGGGGUAACGGCUCACCAAGGCGACGAUACAUAGCCGACCUGAGAGGGGGAUCGGCCACACUGGGACUGAGACACGGCCCAGACUCCUACGGGAGGCAGCAGUAGGGAAUCUUCGGCAAUGGACGAAAGUCUGACCGAGCAACGCCGCGUGAGUGAAGAAGGUUUUCGGAUCGUAAAGCUCUGUUGUAAGAGAAGAACGAGUGUGAGAGUGGAAAGUUCACACUGUGACGGUAUCUGACCAGAAAGGGACGGCUAACUACGUG